AUAGAAAAUGUCGAUUCGUAAUUAGAGGCAGAUUUUUAAAAUUAGACAAUAUUGCAAUAGUAUAAAGAUGUAGCAAUUAAUAAACUCUACAAUACCCACUCACUAAUUCAUUCCAUUCUCAAAGUUCACUCUCAAAAUUAAAACAAAGAUUAUCAAUAUGAUGAAACUAGUAGCAUUUUGGGCUGUCCUAACAUUGGCUAUCACCACCGGCAUUGCUCCAGCCUCCGGUGCUCCAGCCGAUGCUGAUAAAGGAAGUGUGGUCCCAUCAA
rnacentral:lncRNA from 1 species